GUUGCCCACCCCUGCUCUAAUGGACACUUGACUUCAGAGUGUCUGAUAUGUGAUGCUGACUGCAGGACGAUACGUCUACACAUGGAUGUGGAAACAAAAGAAGAUCCCAGUGUGUUAAUGAUCAUCGGUGGAAAGCAGUGAUCCUGAAUCUGUGGACUCAAGAUCAGUGCCAAGAAGACCAAAGUCCUCAGUACUGAUGAGCACCACCGACCGUGCAUCUCGAAGGCGUGCAAAUCAAACAAGUGCAGGAAUUCAAAUACCUCUGGUGCAAGAAAAGAAAGUGGCAUCAACAGCAGAAAUACACUCAAGAAUCGGUCAAGCGGCUGCGGCUUUCACCUCCCUCUGAUUGUGCGUCUGGAAGAAGACAAACGUCACCCUCAUCACCAAAAUCUGCCUGUACUGCACACUGCUGUUGCCCAUUCUUCUCUAUAGAUCAGAGACCCGGGUCAUCCUCGAGCACGACCUCAACAAGCUUCAGCUCUUCCAAAUGUGCUGUUUGCGUCAGAUUCUCCGAGUGUCCCCUGUCUCAGCAUACGUAGUCAAUGACACCGGCAGCCCUCGAUUGAAGAGCUGAUCCAGAAGCGACGACUGCAGUGGUUUGGCCAAGUCUGCCGCAUGAGCAACCAUCGCCUGCCAUAUCGCCUUCUACUGCAGCGUGACGCACCCAAGACUUGGAUCAAGCAAAUUGAAGACCAUCUUAAACAACGACGUCUAACCCUCGAGCAAGCAAAGGUUAAGGCCAGAGGUCGCAAAGCCUGGAAGUGCAUCGUUGAGCAAGAUGGAAACCCUACGGCACCCACAGCGACGUACUGGCUUUUUGAACGACCUCCCCUGCCGACCGCCAGCUAGGGACAAAAGAAGAAAAGAAAGUGGACUCAUUGUGGUAUCAGUCUGCUUAAUUUGUAUUAUAUCGGGAAAUAUAUAAAACAUUGAUGUAAAUAAUGUUGACUACUCUUGCAUUUGUCAUCAGUCAUCAUAUAUGUGUCAAAAACAAAGCGAUCAGCAGGGAAAUCAGGCAUGAACAGACUGAAAAGUUACGAAAUUGCAGUUAAUUCUAAGACUAG